rnacentral:rRNA from 1 species
GAUGAACGCUGGCGGCGUGCCUAACACAUGCAAGUCGAGCGAUCUUCUUCGGAAGGGAGCGGCGGACGGGUGAGUAACGCGUGGGUAACCUGCCCUGUACACACGGAUAACAUACCGAAAGGUAUGCUAAUACGGGAUAACAUAAGAAAGUCGCAUGGCUUUCUUAUCAAAGCUUUUGCGGUACAGGAUGGACCCGCGUCUGAUUAGCUAGUUGGUAAGGUAACGGCUUACCAAGGCGACGAUCAGUAGCCGACCUGAGAGGGUGAUCGGCCACAUUGGAACUGAGACACGGUCCAAACUCCUACGGGAGGCAGCAGUGGGGAAUAUUGCACAAUGGGCGAAAGCCUGAUGCAGCAACGCCGCGUGAGCGAUGAAGGCCUUCGGGUCGUAAAGCUCUGUCCUCAAGGAAGAUAAUGACGGUACUUGAGGAGGAAGCCCCGGCUAACUACGUGCCAGCAGCCGCGGUAAUACGUAGGGGGCUAGCGUUAUCCGGAAUUACUGGGCGUAAAGGGUGCGUAGGCGGUCUUUCAAGUCAGAAGUGAAAGGCUACGGCUCAACCGUAGUAAGCUUUUGAAACUGUAAGACUUGAGUGCAGGAGAGGAGAGUGGAAUUCCUAGUGUAGCGGUGAAAUGCGUAGAUAUUAGGAGGAACACCAGUUGCGAAGGCGGCUCUCUGGACUGUAACUGACGCUGAGGCACGAAAG